UGGCCUACCUGGAUGGGAAGCCUGCGGCUGAGAUGCGGAUGGUUUCCAGCACGCCGCACGCUCUGAGCUGUUGGACUGCUCGCUUGGGAUCAAACCUGCCAACAAACCCAGAACCACAAUCAACAUGGCUGCUCCAGAUCACACAGAAACAACGGCUGCUCUGUCACAGGUCUGUAACCGGAAAAAAAUAAAUCUCAGCAAGCUGAAAACCAAAAACACAAAACUCACGAGAAGGCCAACUUGAAGUCYUUGGGUUUGAUGCAGCGGACGUAGUGAGGAGUGGUUGCAUUCAGAGUCUCCAUCAGCAUUUGUAAAGAGUUUCGAAACUACAACAGGAAUCACAAAAUUGAAGUGAAUCAUGACCUCAUCUCCUGCAUGACUCACCUGACAGCCGACUGUCUUCUUGUGCUCCUUGCUGCUCGUCUCCCUGCUCUUGUC